ACGAACGCUGGCGGCGUGCUUAACCCAUGCAAGUCGAACGGAAAGGCCCCUUUGGGGGUACUCGAGUGGCGAACGGGUGAGUAACACGUGAGUAACCUGCCCUUGACUUCGGGAUAACUUCAGGAAACUGGGGCUAAUACCGGAUAGGAAUCCUUGCUGCAUGGUGGGGGUUGGAAAGCUUCGGCGGUUUUGGAUGGACUCGCGGCUUAUCAGCUUGUUGGUGGGGUAGUGGCUUACCAAGGCUUUGACGGGUAGCCGGCCUGAGAGGGCGACCGGCCACAGUGGGACUGAGAUACGGCCCAGACUCCGACGGGAGGCAGCAGUGGGGAAUAUUGCACAAUGGGCGGGAGCCUGAUGCAGCAACGCCGCGGGCGGGAUGACGGCCUUCGGGUUGUAAACCGCUUUCAGCAGGGGCGAAGCUUGUGGUGACGGUACCUGCAGAAGAAGCACCGGCUAACUACGUG
rnacentral:rRNA from 1 species